GGGGGAUAUUGCACAAUGGGGGAAACCCUGAUGCAGCGACGCCGCGUGGAGGAAGAAGGUUUUCGGAUUGUAAACUCCUGUCGUUAGGGACGAUAAUGACGGUACCUAACAAGAAAGCACCGGCUAACUACGUGCCAGCAGCCGCGGUAAAACGUAGGGUGCAAGCGUUGUCCGGAAUUACUGGGUGUAAAGGGAGCGCAGGCGGACCGGCAAGUUGGAAGUGAAAACUAUGGGCUCAACCCAUAAAUUGCUUUCAAAACUGCUGGCCUUGAGUAGUGCAGAGGUAGGUGGAAUUCCCGGUGUAGCGGUGGAAUGCGUAGAUAUCGGGAGGAACACCAGUGGCGAAGGCGACCUACUGGGCACCAACUGACGCUGAGGCUCGAAAGCAUGGGUAGCAAACAGGAUUAGAUACCCUGGUAGUCCAUGCCGUAAACGAUGAUUACUAGGUGUUGGAGGAUUGACCCCUUCAGUGCCGCAGUUAACACAAUAAGUAAUCCACCUGGGGAGUACGACCGCAAGGUUGAAACUCAAAGGAAUUGACGGGGGCCCGCACAAGCAGUGGAGUAUGUGGUUUAAUUCGAAGCAACGCGAAGAACCUUACCAGGUCUUGACAUCCGAUGCAUAGUGCAGAGAUGCAUGAAGUCCUUCGGGACAUCGAGACAGGUGGUGCAUGGUUGUCGUCAGCUCGUGUCGUGAGAUGUUGGGUUAAGUCCCGCAACGAGCGCAACCCUUAUUGCCAGUUACUACGCAAGAGGACUCUGGCGAGACUGCCGUUGACAAAACGGAGGAAGGUGGGGAUGACGUCAAAUCAUCAUGCCCUUUAUGACCUGGGCUACACACGUACUACAAUGGCGUUUAACAAAGAGAAGCAAGACCGCGAGGUGGAGCAAAACUCAAAAACAACGUCUCAGUUCAGAUUGCAGGCUGCAACUCGCCUGCAUGAAGUCGGAAUUGCUAGUAAUCGCGGAUCAGCAUGCCGCGGUGAAUACGUUCCCG
rnacentral:rRNA from 1 species